UGCUUCUAGGCCCGGUUUAGGCCUUGUUUAGUUAAAAAAAUUUACAAAAUUUUUCAGAUUUCCCGUCACAUCAAAUCUUUAGACGCAUGCAUGAAGUAUUAAAUGUUGACGAAAAUAAAAACUAAUUGCACAGUUUGGUCGGAAUUGACGAGACGGAUAUUUUGAGUAUAGUUAGUACAUGAUUGGAUAAUAUUUGUCAAAUACAAACGAAAAUGGUACUAUUCAUACUUUGCAAAAAAUUUUGGAACUAAACAAGGCCUUAGAUUGGACGUGAAAUUUUUUGGGUGUCACAUCCGAUGUGUCGGAAAGAUGUUGGAAAGGAUUUUUAGAAAUUAAUAAAAAAACAAAUUACAUAGCCCGUCAGGAAACUGCAAGACAAAUCUAUUAAGCAUAAUUAAUCUGUCAUUAGCACAUGUGGGUUACUGUAGCACUUAAGGCUAAUCAUGGAGUAACUAGGCUUAAAAGAUUCGUCUCACGAUUUUCAAUCAAACUGUGUAAUUAGUUUAUUUUUUAUGUACAUUUAAUGUUUUAUGCAUGUAUCCAAAGAUUUGAUGGGAUGGAUGAAAAAAUUUUUGGUGGGAAAUUAAACAGGGCCCUAUGCAAGAUUUGGUCAGAGAUUCAAAAUUGAGGCCUUGUUUUUAUGACCUUGUUUAGUUCCAAAUUUUUUUGUAAAAUAAGAAUAGUAGUACUUUCGUUUGUAUUUGUCAAAUAUUGUCCAAUUAUGAACUAACUAGACUCAAAAGAUUCGUCUAGUCAAUUUCGACCAAAUUGUACAAUUAGUUUUUAUUUUUAUCUAUAUUUAAUAUUCCAUGCAUGCGUCUAGAGAUUUGAUGUGACGGGGAAUCUUGAAAAAUUUUGGGUUUUUUUUGGAAGUAAACAAGGCUUGACUAAUUAGACUUAAAAGACUCAUCUCGCAAAUUACAGAUAAAUUAUACAAUUAAUUAUUUUUUAAAUCUAUAUUUAAUGUUUCAUAUGCAUAUGCUAAGUUCGCAAUUUUUUUUUGAUAUAAACAAGACCUUGGCCUUGUUUAGUUCGUGAAGGAAAAAUUUUCGUGACAAUGUAGCACUUUCAUUUGUUUGUGGUAAUUAUUGUCCAAUCAUAGACUAUCUAGGCUUAAAAAAUUCGUCUCGUCAAUUCCGACUAAACCGUGCAAUUAGUUUUUAUUUUUAUUUAUAUUUAAUACUCUAUGCAUAGGUCUAAAGAUUUGAUGUGACAGAAAAUCUUUAAAAAUUUUGGGUGUGUUUAGUUCGUUUUCGAGACAAGCCUGGCUAGCAAAACUAAGCCUGGCUAGUCUUAGCUUGCUCCAACUAAGCCAAUUCACAGUUGUUUGGUUGUCUGCAUUAUGUUAGCCUGGCUACAACAUAUGUUUGUUUGGUUGGUUGGCUUGAUUUGCAUAGAGUCACCUCUUUCUGUUGGAUGGUAAGUUCACCCCCUCUGAGACAUUGUGUCGAACAGCUGCUGGGCAUGCCCCUCGCCACCGUCCUCCUCCUCCUCGUCGAGCAUUCAAGCACAUGUUCCCUCUGUUGGACGGUGAUGCGGUCGCGGCGCGUCAUCGUGAGCCUGCGCAGCUCCUCGUCCUCGAUCAUGAGCUCGGCCAGAGUGGGCGCCUUGCCCCGCCUCCUCUUGACCCCGUCCUCCACAUCCCUUGCCGGCCUCGUGGGCUCGUCGUCUCUCUCCCACGGGAGGACGACAUCAUCGAAGCUGGUGGCCGCGAACUGGCGGUCGGGCCACGCCCAGCUGCGGUCGAGCACGUCGCCGAGGCGCUCGGUGCCGUCGGGGGGCGCGCGGCGGUCGUGGCAGCAGAGGCGGAGGAGGGACGACAUCGUCUGGCGGCCGCGAACUGGCGGUCGGGCCACGCCCAGCUGCGGUCGAGCAGGUCGCCGAGGGGCUCGGUGCCGUCGGGGGGCGCCGCGGCGGUCGUGGCAGUGGAGGCGGAGGAGGGGUCGUCAUCGUCGGAGGCGAGGCCGAGGUUGCGGAGGUGGUGCAUGAUGCGGUGACGAGAAGGGAGCGUCGGGGCUAGCUCUGGCCUGGCUUCAGAAGAAACACCAACCCCGUGUUUCUUUCUGGGUCUGGCUCCGGAUGUACGGAUAGCCAGCUGGGAACCAAACAACACAAUUCUAGCCCAACCAAGCAAAAACCACCUUAGGAGGCUAACCAAACACAAGCUUUGAAUUUUUGGGUGGAAGUAAAGUGCUACUGCCUACUGCAGCCGGUACAGUGCUACAUAUCCUCGUGAGUGAGGACAACGGCAACCCACAAGUACCCAACAAGCCACUGUUUCUAAAUUUUUUGGAACGCUGUUUCUAAGUUUUUUAAAAAUCGAUACUGUAGUAUUUUCGUUUGUAUUUGACAAAUAUUAUCUAAUUAUGAACUAACUAGACUCAAAAGAUUUAUCUCAUCAAUUCGACUAAACUGUACAAUUAGUUUUUAUUUUUAUCUAUAUUUAAUAUUUUAUACAUAUAUUUAAAGAUUACAGAAAAUCUAAAAAAUUUUGUAAAUUUUUUUAAAACUAAACAAGGCCAAGUCUACUCAACCCAACCGGCCAGCCCACACCACCGAAGGAAAAAAAAACACUUUUGCUCUCCUGUCCCCUCGGCCAUGUCUUCCCAGCAGCAGCAGAAGAGGGUUCCUGACCAGGACGGCGAGCACGCCAACGGCGCCAAGAGGUCCAGGGCGCUGGCCAUACCCAACGGCGAGGUGAAGCAGGAGCAGCGCGGGCAGGGAGAAGAAGAGGCAGGCCAAGGCGAGCAGGGAGAGGGAGCUUUGGUUGCGGUGGAGCAAGCCAUGGAGGAGCCGCAGAUCAACAUCCGGAUGGCCGUGUCUCAUCUCCACUGCCAUGCCUGCGUCCUGCCCCUCAAACCCCCAACCUUCGAGGUCAGUUCUCCUGCUGAUCGUAUUGAGAGAGAUUUAGCGGGGGAAAUUCGGUUGGGUCUUUUUCAGCUGAGGAGGGUUUUCUGCAAGAAAAAAUUGAACAGCAUGGAAAGAGGGAAGAGGGAAGAGGGGAGAGGGUUUUCUAGCAGGAAAUCAAGAACUUUUCUUUGGUAUUUAGGGAUUUUUUUCCCUUUGGGUCGGGUGUUUUGUGCUAUGAUGAAAGCUUGAAUCUUUUUGGACCGAAAAAAUUCUGUGCAGAGAAAUGUUGAUUUGAUUCUUGAAACUCUUGCCUUUGUUUUGGUUGCAGUGCGAGGCCGGCCACGUCGUGUGCCGCGCCUGUCGUGGCAGCCACGUCCAGGCCUGCGCCGGCGCCGGCACCUAUGUCUCCUGCGCCAAGCUGGACGGGAUCGUGCGCGACGCCAAGGUGGCGUGCGCCUACGAGGCGUUCGGCUGCACGAGCUGGGUCGUCUACUACGAGGCGCCGGACCACCACCGCUCCUGCCGGUUCGCGCCCUGCUCCUGCCCGGCCCCUGGCUGUGGGCACUUCACCUCGCCGGCGAGGCUGGUCGAGCACUUCUUCAGCCACCACGCCUGGAACGUCACCGAGGUCGACUACGCGAAGCCGUGCAAGCUCGCCGUCCCGGGCCCCGAGGACAAGCUGGUCCUGGUGGGCAAGGCGGACGGGUCCGUGUUCCUCGUGUCUCCGUGCGCCUUCGGCGCGGCCACGGCGGCCGUGUCGCUGGUGUGCGUGAGGGCGUGCGGCGACGUGGCUGCGGGGGCACCCCAGUACACGUGUAACCUCUGGGCGGAGGUCGCGGGCAACGCCCUGCUGCUCACGUCUGUGGUGGCCAGCAGCGACCUGGUUGGCGGCUUCCCAGCGACCGACAAGGUCAUGUUCCUGCCACUGCCGCAGCUGCUGUACGACGAGUCCGGCGAGCCGCCUGCCCUCAUGGUCCGCAUCGACAAAGUCGGCGCGUCCACUAUCAGGUCAAGGUCCCCGUGUGCCACUCCGCCGUCGAGCCUGCCCAGGAGGAUGCUGCAGUAAUGAGGAUCGGAAACUAGGCACUAAUUAAUUAGCUUGGUUAGCAGUAAUGCAUACUCCUUCAAUUUUGCAGAGUGUUCGUAGUAGCUGCCUAGCUGGAUGUGGUGGACUGGUGGUUAGUGGUGAGGAUCAUCAGAAUGACAAGAGCAUGGAUUAGUGUGUUCGUGGUAGCUGGAUGUGGUGGUUAGUGGUGAGGUUCAUCAGAAUGUCAAGAGCAUGGAUUAGAGUUUAGUACUACUAGUUCUCAGCAUUUUACUUGGUGUCUAAUUCUAGUUUGGUACUUGAAUGCAAGUAGCUCUACUUAUUUAUGCAACCUAUAAUUCCUCCAAGAUUUGUUCCUUCACAGUUCGUAUUUUGACAUCAAGUGAACUAUGAUCAAAAUUCAAAAGGGUAAUGGCAAUAUCAGACAAUUAGACAUCUUGUAAUCUGUGUGCAAAUAGAUUGGGAUCAUCUGUGCAAGGACAGGGGCGCUGGAGACAGGUUGUACAUUGUAGUCUUGCUGGCACUGCAAGUCUUUGCAAUGGCUCUAUUAUCUUCACCUGGCCCUGGCUGUUGAUCAUGAGAUGUAUGGCUGGCCAGCGUCACUGUGUCAGUGAUGCCUUGCCUUUGAGAUGUAUUGUAGGCAGUAGGCCCGUAUCCUGUUGUCUCGUGCCGAGUUCAGAGUUCUUCUGCAGCCAUGUCUCAUUGGUUUGAAAUUUCUACCUCUGUCGACAAAAGAAAUUUCUAUCAGGUUCAAAUCUUGUGUAUUUCCCUUUUUUAUUAGUGAUUGAUGGAUGCUGUGGACUGAAUCUUUUGUUGUUUGGUAGAAGUACUGCUCUGUGAAACUGAUCAAUACAUUAAUUAGUUUUGUGAAAUUGAUGAUAGAGGAAGACUUUGUCACUCUUACUUGUUACAAGCUAUAUUUCAAUUUGCUGAACAUGGUUUAUCGAAAAAAAUGCAGUGUGUUUUAUUAAAACAAACUCUGUAGGUACAGGUAAUACUUUUUUUUGCAAUAUUUGCAGAAUAGCUGUGAAGUGCAUAAUAUCAGCCGGGUGAGGUCAUGAUUAAUGCAGAUUAUAUUCUAUUCUAUUUUUAUAAUUCAUUUUCAUAAAUUACCUAUCAUGCACAUAAUGGCUUGCUGAUGGUAUCUAAGACACUAAGACUAAGAAGAAUUUCCUCUGCUUAGUGCUGGUUGUAACUGCAUAUUUUACUAUUUGAGUAGUCUUUCCAGUGAGUUUCCUGUUCAGUUCCUUUUACACAUAGCUUGUUAUUCCGUCAGUUUUCUGGGCAAACUUUUUGCUUGCGAUCAGCAUCGGACUGGCCCUUCUUUUAACUGCUAGACAAGCUAAAGAAACCAAAGAGAAUUGGAAGACAACAUACAGGAUGUUGUAUUGAUUAAUACUAAUUAAAUAUGCUGUAGCACCAGUCAUAUGACAACGGAUUGUUCUCUUGUACAUCUGAAAAAUGAAUAAUGGUCGGUUUGCUCAUUGCAGCAACCUCAUAAAUAGUUGCUCCUAAAACAUGCUAUUUUGGCUAUUAAGAUAGACAAGCUGUUAAACUCCUGUGUUGUCUUGAUUGGUGUGUGUCUGGAUUAUUUGGAUUGUCAAUCUUCAGCUGUAGUUCUUGGAGACGUGUCAGUUUGUAUUUGUAAGUGUCUUUGAAUAAUUAUCCUAUAUAUUCUGAAAUGUAGAGUGUCUUCGAAUAAAUGCCCUAUUUCUUGAUGUUGGAUUUUUUUCGUUGCCAGUAGUAGUACUAAUUACUAAAGGAUAUUGCUCAGGUUUUUGAAUAAUUACUAAGAACUCUGUUUUUUAACUUUCCAGGUUAGAAGAAAGAAGAUGCAAGAAGGAGAAGCUGCAAAUUGCAAGAGUCAACACCACAGCUCUUUUUCUGAAAAAAAAUAUAUUUAACAGAAGAGGAAAUGGCUAAGCACAUCAAUCCAUAUGUCAUGCUCAUAUAUGCACUGUCCAAGUUAAUACUAGUAUCUGUUGUAUCUAGGAGUAGUACUGUCUACUUAUGUAUGCUGAUCAAUCAAGAGCUUAUACUCAGUUAUUGGGUGUUAUGUUAUUGAGUUUUUAUAUGCUGACCCCUUCUUGUUAUGCUCUGUUAUUGAGUGUUAUGUGCUAUCAUAAUGUACACUCAAUUACUCAUAUAUUUGGUUUAAAGCAAAUAAUAUCCAUGUUAACAAUUUGGCUUUUUCCUUCUACCUCUAGGCUUUUUUCCCAUCCUCUUCCUUUAUGCCAAUUCUUUUUAGCAUUACAAUAGUUUGGUUCCUCCUUAUGUGCCAUUUCCACCUAGCAAAUACUAGUAGCCUUGUUGUAGAGAGUAUAGCGUAUAGCUUGCAGAAUCCUCAUACAGGAUCUUGAGUUGUUUUUCAGUUCUCUGAAAAUUUGAAAAUUUUUUGGUUUCAGAGAACUGGAGACUACAUAAUUUUAUGUACUGCAUGCUGAAAUAAAGCCAUAUACUGACAUACUAGGAAGCAAUUUGCCUUGUGAUUUGUGAGGGCUGUGAUGUGACGCAUUUUUUGUCCUUUCUAAAUUGUUGGGAGUCAAACUCGACAAUAAUCUGAUAGUAUCAAUGAAUUCAGUAGUUGUCUUCAUUUACACUGCUUUGUUAGGUGAGCAUUACCAGUGAUUACAUUAGUGAUAGCUAGUUUCUUUUUCUUGUUUACAAUAAUCUUGCAUACUGUUAUAAUUGCUCGAUCUAUCAUACUGAUUCCUGUCUCCUGGUUGGUGAUUGAGCUCUUGGUCGGCAGGUACUUCUCCCCUACAGCAGUAGCGGAUAAAAUCACUUGAAGUGAGCAUCUUCCUCCACAUAUCCACUGAUCUUAUGCAUUUAUUAGUUAUAUUACCUUUGAUUUCUGGUAAAUUGUUGGUCUUGCUCGCCUUGUUACCAUAAUUAUUUUGGUUGCCCAGCCAUGGAAGUAGAAUAAAUCUGGGAGCAAUGGGUAAUCUUCAAAUUAUCCGUUGAAAUUGUUCUGUUCUUUCUGUGAUGGCAAGGAUGCAUAUUGGGGAAAAAAUGAUAUAUGGCAUUAUAUAAACUGAACCUUUAUAGUUGCUGCAAUAGCCCGUGCAUAUGUUCUCUGGCUUGCUUUGGCUGGAGCAAUUUAUGAGUGAUGUUUCUGUAGCUGGCUUGUUUGCCGUGUGGACACAACACAGAGAUGUCGUUCUGCUUAGUAAUCUUGGCAAUUCUUCUCUCCCUCCUACCUCUAUAGAAAAGAUUAACAAAAAAAGUCCCUUUGAUUGUUCACAGAAUCCUAGUUUGUCCAAUGUCCAUUAGAUAUUUCUUUUGGCUGCUUCUGUUAUGCAGGAUACAAAAUCUUAGGCUUGUGAAUUUGUGAUGGAUGAUUCAGAUCAGAUACUAUACUUCUGGACUGAUAUCUCUGAACUGAAACAAGUAACCUGGUAAGCCUGUGACAAUUUGUUGUAACGAUUUUUUUGGUGGUUUGUAAUAAAGACGGUUAAGAGUUAACUUUAAUUUAUGUUUGCUUUGCAGCAGAUACAUGGAGAUGAGGUUUUGAAUUGUCGUCUGACAGAAGGAAACAAGGUUGCAAUUUAUGCUACUGUUAGAUUCUAAGACAAACGAAGAUGGAUAUUUAACUUUGGCCAUGAGCAUACUUGUUUGCAACUUUUAAGUAAUCUGUUAAAUUGAUCGUGUAGAGUUUUCUUAUUAGCUAUUGAAAUGCACUCAUACAAACAGUACUAUGUUCAUGUAUGGACAAGUUUUUUUUUAAAAAAAAAAACAGAUUUUUCAGAAUUCAGAGUUAGUACUAUGUUCAUGUAUCAGAGUGUCAAGAGAUGGAUUAGAGUUAAGUACUGCUAGUUCUCAGCAUUUUACUUGGUGUCUGUAAUUCCUCCAAGAUUUGUGCUCCUGUGAAAUUGGUUCGUGCUUUCUUGACGAGCCUUCAGAGUUGGUACUUUGAUAUCAAGUGUACUAUGAUCAAAAUUCAAAGAAGGGUGAUGGCAAUAUCAGACAAUUAGAAUCCCUUUAAAGCUUACUUCUUGUAAUCUUUGUGCAAAUAGAUUGGGAUCAUCUGUGCAAGGACAGGGGCUAAAUUGUACUAGUGUUGCUGGUAGUCCAAGUCUUCGAACGUGGUAAAUUUUUUUGAUUCAUAUGUUUUUUUAUAUAAAAUUACUGCAUUGCAAUAGCUCUAGGAUCGUCACCUUUCUCGCUCGGAUUCGUGUUCCCCUUGCCCUGGCUUUUGAUCAUGAGAUGUAUGCCUGGCAAGCGUUGCCUUUUUGGUUGAACCUGAUCCGAUUUGAUAGAUAUAUGUCUGUUCGCUGAAUCGUUUUAACGGCUGAUACUCAUUAGCCGCCCAAAUGAUUCAUAGAACAGGCAAGGGUGAAAUUCUAUUUACCUCCGCUUUUUUAUGCCCAUUUGCUUGCGGUUGGAUCUGCUCUGCUCGAGUGUUUCAGUUUUUCCUUUCCAUAUGUGUUCUAGUAGCAGUUUUGCCUCUCAUUCAGAAGCCUUUUACAUAUAUGCCAUUAUAAAAGAUCAAAAAAACCUAUAUACCAUUAAAGUUAAAAAGUUUGCCUGUAACAACCUGUAUGUGUACAUGUGAAUUUUUUAAAUAAUAUAUAUAUAUAUAUAUAUAUAUAUAUAUAUAUAUAUAUAUAUAUAAGAGGCAAAAUUUCAGUCUAAUCUUUCGUCUGGUCGGAUUUUCGUCUGGCCUCUUCCCAGACUGGUUUCGACUCGCAGUCUAAAUCCAAAUCCAAGUCGGGCGUGCUAUUGUAAAGGCAGACGUCGAACCAAAACAAAAAUGUCAAAAAUACCAAACCCAAGCAAAGCCAACGGGAAUCACUCCAUGAGAGUAGUUCAGCCCAACCGUGCGAAUGCUAGAUGCAGAACCGAAGCGAACUUUGUGGCAAAAGCAUGAUCAGGCCAAGCAAAAAUACACGGAGUACAAUACAUGAACAGGAAAGACAUCCACUUGCGUGCCGCCGAGGCCACCGAGUUCGUCCGAGGCGAUUGUUGCGAAGGUCAUCUCGCAGAUGGCGACACGUGCGUCGUGGAGCGUGGAGGCAAAGCGCGACGCGCGGACGCCGCCGCUCCCAAUCCCAGCGCCUAUGGUGAAGAGGUCGUAGUCGUACUCCCCCUUGGCGGAGGCGCCGUUGGGCGCCGCCGCGGCGGACGCCGAGACGUGGCGGCGGCAGGGGCAGGCGAGCCUCGGGAGCGCGGCAAGGGACGGGAGGCGGAGGAAGCCGCGGCGGAGCUGGUGGGUCCCGCGCGGGGAGAGGGUGUGGGUGAGGGUUUGCGCGUGGAGGAGCAGGAGAAAGGGAGCGUCGCGUGCGCUGCCAUGGCUGGCUCCUCGCCGCAGUGUCGACGGCAGCGCCGCUUGCGAGAGUGUGGGGGAGGUGAGGGAGCGAGGAGGCGAGGCGAGGCCUGGCCAGAUCUUGAUUUGUCUGGUGCGUGUGUAGAUGGAGAAAGAGAAUGCGUCUUCCUCCCCGUCUGAAGGCGUAUAGUUUAAGAACCCCGCUAAUCAACUAUGAAGGCAUAAUUGUGAUAGGCUAAAAUAGUUUACAUAAACAAAUUUGCGACCCACAUGCUGCCAGGUUCCAUCGGUGACUAAAAUAAAUUAAAUAUGAAAAAUAUAUUUUAUAAUUAUCUUAUACCUAAUACUAAAGAGGUAAAAUUUUAGCCUUUUUUUUGUCUGGAUUUUUUUGUCUAGCUAUUUAUAUUGUCUCAACUGUUACCAUGUUCACUCAGGAAUCUGCGUGCGGAAAUCUGCCGACAAUAAUUUAGAAGACAGGAAAGACCAUCACGAUUUAGAUCGAGACCAAAAUACUCCUCCUCAAAAUUGAAUCCAGGUCGCACACGACACAGACCCAAAAACGAACCAAACUAGAUGUGGAUUCUAGAUCCAGACCAGUACCAAAUCAAGUCCAAAACAAAUCACAUACCAAAUCUAUGAAAACCAUACCAAAUAAAGGCAACCAAUAAUAUAUAUAUAUAUAUAAAGCCGAGCAUGAACAGCAACGGUUAAGAGCAUGGUUUAGGAGCUGCCUGCCUGAAAUAAAAGAGACGACUUCUGGCGACCAUGGACAGAUAAGAAAUAGAGAGAGCGAAGAUGGUGAAGAUGCUUGGCCACGCUCUGGCUUCUCUCGACGCCCUCCGUACCCCCUGGCCACUACUCGUCGGCGCGCCUGACCGAUGCGGUGCGGUGGCAGGAGAGCAGCGAGUCAGCAACUGCAUCAGUCGUGGGAAAAAGCAGGAGGAGCAGUAGCAUGUGGAUCUUGACGAAUGGUGCCAUCUUGUCCCCUACCUCUGAUGUGCUAGCGACGAACAUGGUUGCCUGUGUUGCGUGAUGGCCGAAGGGAGGAUAUAAUAGGAUAAGG
rnacentral:lncRNA from 1 species